GCUGGGCAUGGUGGCACAUGCCUGUAGUCCCAGCUACUCAGGAGGCUGAGGUGGGAGGAUCACUUGAGCCCAGGAGUUCAAGGCUGCAGUGAGCUGUGAUCACAUCACUGCACUCCAGCCUGGGUGACAGAGUGAGACUCUGUCUCUA
ensembl:misc_RNA Metazoa_SRP Metazoan signal recognition particle RNA